UACGUAGGGGGUAAGCGUUGUCCGGAAUUAUUGGGCGUAAAGAGCUCGUAGGCGGUUUGUCGCGUCGACUGUGAAAACCCGAGGCUUAACCUCGGGCCUGCAGUCGAUACGGGCAGACUAGAGUUCGGUAGGGGAGACUGGAAUUCCUGGUGUAGCGGUGAAAUGCGUAGAUAUCUGGAGGAACACCGGUGGCGAAGGCGGCAUCCUGGACCAACACUGACACUGAGGAGCGAAAGCCAGGGGAGCAAACGGG
rnacentral:rRNA from 1 species